ensembl:misc_RNA 7SK 7SK RNA
GGAUGUGAGGGUGAUCUGGCUGUGACACCUGUCAACCCAUUGAUCGCCAGGGUUGAUUCGGCUGAUCUGGCUGGCUAGGCAGGUGUCCCCUUCCUCCCUCACCGCUCCAUGUGCGUCCCUCCCGAAGCUGUGCGCUCGGAAGUCCUUCCCUGAAUAGAGACGGAUCAGUCUUUGGUCGAGGGUAUACAAGUAGCUGUGCUCCCCUGCUAGAACCUCCAAACAAGCUCUCAAGACUUAUUUGAAAAGGACCCAAGUGGUGGUGCUACAUCUAGUGGAGCACACCGGGUUCAAGCCCCCAAUCCCCACCUAUAGAGAGAAAGCUUCACAAGUGGUGAGCAGUGCU